rnacentral:rRNA from 1 species
UACGAAGGGGGCUAGCGUUGUUCGGAUUUACUGGGCGUAAAGCGCACGUAGGCGGAUCGUUAAGUCGGGGGUGAAAUCCUGGAGCUCAACUCCAGAACUGCCUUCGAUACUGGCGAUCUUGAGUCCGGAAGAGGUGAGUGGAACUCCUAGUGUAGAGGUGGAAUUCGUAGAUAUUAGGAAGAACACCAGUGGCGAAGGCGGCUCACUGGGUCCCGGUACUGACGCUGAGGUGCGAAAGCGUGGGGAGCA